UCUUGGUUCAGGAUGAACGCUAGCUACAGGCUUAACACAUGCAAGUCGAGGGGCAUCAUGGAGUUGCUUGCAAACUCUGAUGGCGACCGGCGCACGGGUGAGUAACGCGUAUCCAACCUUCCCUAUAGUAGAGGAUAGCCCGGCGAAAGUCGGAUUAAUACUCUAUGUUUUCCGUUGCAGACAUCUAAGAUGGAACAAAGGCUUGCCGCUAUAGGAUGGGGGAUGCGUCUGAUUAGGUAGUCGGCGGGGUAACGGCCCACCGAGCCAUCGAUCAGUAGGGGUUCUGAGAGGAAGGUCCCCCACAUUGGAACUGAGACACGGUCCAAACUCCUACGGGAGGCAGCAGUGAGGAAUAUUGGUCAAUGGGCGAGAGCCUGAACCAGCCAAGUAGCGUGCAGGACGACGGCCCUAUGGGUUGUAAACUGCUUUUAUGCGGGGAUAAAGUUCACUACGUGUAGUGUUUUGUAGGUACCGCAUGAAUAAGGACCGGCUAAUUCCGUGCCAGCCGCAGC
rnacentral:rRNA from 1 species